UGAAAGAUGCGAGCCAUAGCAUCUCGUAACAUGAAGGCCAUCCAGCUCCAUCCUCCCACUGCUGCUUGAACAAUAUGCUUAACACGUAGUGCCGCAGUCGCUUAUACAUGUGCCAUGUUGGUGUGCUGUACCCAUUAACUCGCGAUGUACAUUAGGUAUAUCUCCUAAUGCUAUCCCUCUCCCCUCCCCCAACCCCACAACAGGCCCUGGUGUGUGAUAUUCCCCUUCCUGUGUCCAUGUGUUCUCAUUGUUCAAUUCCCACCUAUGAGUGAGAACAUGCGGUGUUUGGUCUGAGCUAUGCUAGCCUGGGGUACAGGAGGACAAGGAUAAAAUUCUUCCUACCCUUUUCUAUGUGGCCAUCCUUAGUUUUUGUGUUCCGCUGGUUUGCUACAGAUUUGUUAUUGUACUCAGGAGCACUCCCAGAGAUAUUUUUGUCUAUGGAUAUUUACAUUAUUGUUUUUGUUAGAGGAUGAGGGCUGGCACGUCCUAGUCUGCCUUCUUACUGACAUCACUCCUGGUUCUAUUAUUGAUAGAACAAUGUUGAAAUCUCCAACUGUAAUAGUAGAUUCAUCUAUUUCUCUUUGUAAUUCUAUCAGUUUUUGCUUCACAUAUUUAGGCACAUUUUUGUUAGGUACAUGCACAUUAAGGAUUGUUAUAUCUUAUUGGAGAAUUGACAGUUUUAUUAUUAUGUAAUGCUUUUUAUUAUCCCUGACAGUUUGCCAUACUUUGAAGUCUGCUGUGUCGGGAAAUAAUAUAGCUACUUUCAUUUUACUUUGAUUAGUAUGAGAGUAGUGUAUUAUUCUCU
rnacentral:lncRNA from 10 species